UGUGCAAUAUACGAAAGUAUGACAUAGAGAGGAAACAUUUAAUUGAGCCUGUCAAAUUAAGUGCCAGCAGACGCGGUAAAACUUAAAGGCUGGUCUUUAUAGGUAAAAGGGCGUAAAGGAUGUGUAGGCCCAGAAACUAUCCAAGGAGGUAAAUGGAAAUUUUCUGGAGCGGUAGAAUGUUUGGAUAGAAAAUAGAACCCCUAAGGUUAAAACUAUUUACCACAAGAGAGGCUGAAACAUGAAAGUGUGGGGAGCAAACAGGAUUAGAGACCCUGGUAGUCCACACUGUGAACUUUGAAGAUGAUGGUUAGCAAACCCGAAAGGUAAAAUCUUCCGCCUGAGUAGUACGGUCGCAAGAUUAAAAUUCAAAAACUUUGGCUGUUCACUAUUUCAAUUAGAGGAGCGUGUAGUUUAAUUCGAUGAUCCGCGUGUUACCUCACCCCAACUUGAAUCUUUGACCGGUAUUGCAUGGCCGUCGUAAGCCCGUGUAUUAAACUAGAAGGGGCCCAACCCGGGCUCAGGCCCGGAUGAAGUCAGGUCUUAUGGUCCUAAUGUUUGGGGAUUAUAUGCGCUACAUUUUCUUAUAUAAUGGGAAACCUGAAAGGUGAACCCUUAAAAUAGGAGUUCGGAGGGUCGCUGUAAAACGACUGGAAGUUGAAUUUAAUAGUAAUCGGGAAGUAGGGUGUUCCGGUGAAUUGGUUUAGGUGUUAGCACAAACUGCCCGUCACCUUUGCCUAGAAUGGUUACUUGG
rnacentral:rRNA from 1 species